rnacentral:tRNA from 1 species
UCUAAUAUGACAGACUAAUGUGAUAGAUUUAAGAUCUAUAUAUAAAGAUUUAUUCUUUUGUUAGAA